ACGGCAGAAAGUUUCAUUCUAUUCCGUAUUUCCUAUAUGUGGACCAGCUGUUUUGCCAUUUUAGCAACUGUCGUCAUCGGUGUGCUCGUCAGCUCUCUUACAGGUGAAAUAAGGAAUAAGAACACAAAGUUGCAUCUCUGCAAUGAUGGAGCAGUUCGAUUAUGGCGCUAUGCAAGGUUGCUGGAUGGUGAAGCAAAAGUGGAGAAUGCCAAGAAUACGACGACAAAGGAAGGAAUGCGUGACGGUAGAAGGGAAGGCGAGAAUCUCCUUGCAAGCAAAGACGAAACAUGCAUUUGAAGAUGACUGAAAUGAAGAGAAAGAAAAUGCGUAAAUAAAAUAUUAAA
rnacentral:lncRNA from 1 species